rnacentral:rRNA from 1 species
UACGAAGGGGGCUAGCGUUGCUCGGAAUCACUGGGCGUAAAGGGUGCGUAGGCGGGUCUUUAAGUCAGGGGUGAAAUCCUGGAGCUCAACUCCAGAACUGCCUUUGAUACUGAGGAUCUUGAGUUCGGGAGAGGUGAGUGGAACUGCGAGUGUAGUGGUGAAAUUCGUAGAUACUCGCAAGAACACCAGUGGCGAAGGCGGCUCACUGGUCCGGUACUGACGCUGAGGUGCGAAAGCGUGGGGAGCAAACAGG